rnacentral:lncRNA from 1 species
CGGCCACUCAGCGGCGGCGCGCCGACUGGUAAGACGACGGACCAUCUUGAUCACAUUCUUCUUCUCCUUCUUGAUGAGUUGCAAAUCUGCGUGUUCUUUUCUUUUUGACAAGAAUACUUCCAUCUUUUGUUCUGAUCGAUGAUUUCUGUUCUUGCAUUGCAAUUUCUGCAGAUGCAGUUGACACCGACGUCUGCGUGCAGAACUGCAACAGGAAGCUGAGCCAGAUGGCCCAGACUGAUUAACCGCCAAACCGCUCUGUUUUAGGAGAAGAGAAGAAGAUUUGAAGAGCUACCUUGUCGAUCAUGGGAUCAUUACAUAUAUAUGAAUAUGAUGUUGAAUGGCUGUGAUUGUAGCAGCAACCAAUAAAUUGAGUAUGUCGGAUAUGUAAGGCAUAAUAUACAUAAUAUGAAGUUAAAUUGGCUUUGAUUUGGCAUUUCCAAAGUUUUUUGUCUUUUUUGCGACGAAAAAGUGCGACCUUUUCCCCCUUAACUUAACCCAGAGAUGAGAAAAAUUUAGGCAACUGAUACAACACCCAAGGCUUCAUAGCAUCUUAAAAAAAGAAUGAAAAGUAGCACUGGAACCAUAUAUUAGAACCAUAUAUGUAGUAGCAAAUAAUACCAGGCUAAGGCAAGUGCAAAUUCAGUUCAACUCACAAGAACUUCUUCCCAACAUUCCUAACAUUCA